AACCGCGUAGCUCAGUUGGAAGAGCAUUGGGCUAGUACUCCAAAGGUCGUAGGUUCGAAUCCCGCCGUGGCCA